ACGAACGCUGGCGGCAUGCCUAACACAUGCAAGUCGGACGAGACCUUCGGGUCUAGUGGCGCACGGGUGCGUAACGCGUGGGAACCUGCCCUUAGGUUCGGAAUAACUCCCCGAAAGGGGUGCUAAUACCGGAUAAUGUCUUCGGACCAAAGAUUUAUCGCCUUUGGAUGGGCCCGCGUUGGAUUAGCUAGUUGGUAGGGUAAAAGCCUACCAAGGCGACGAUCCAUAGCUGGUCUGAGAGGAUGAUCAGCCACACUGGGACUGAGACACGGCCCAGACUCCUACGGGAGGCAGCAGUGGGGAAUAUUGGACAAUGGGCGAAAGCCUGAUCCAGCAAUGCCGCGUGAGUGAUGAAGGCCUUAGGGUUGUAAAGCUCUUUUACCCGGGAUGAUAAUGACAGUACCGGGAGAAUAAGCUCCGGCUAACUCCGUG
rnacentral:rRNA from 1 species